rnacentral:lncRNA from 1 species
UUGAACAUUUGAAAAGCAGACAAAGCAAAAAUACAGACUAAGGAAAUAUCUGUAUUAUUCCUUGAGUAUUUUGGUAAACUGUUUCUGUAAACGUUUUAUAAAUAAACUCUUUAUCCUUACUGGCAGCCUUGCAAUUGUGACUGACAGUUUUCUUAGGAUACUUGGAAAGUUUCCUUUAGGGAUAUCAGAUUCUUACAUGUGUUAUAUGCCACUACCACGCCAUGGCCACUGUGCACUGAACAUGAACUCAGCUCUCAUUUUCCUCUCCCUGGAUUCGUGUGAAAACAAGGCCCAGUAGAAUUGCAGAAUCACUUGGAAACCGGAUCAGUGAGACCUGACUGAAUGGAGGAAAGCCACACCUUAAAGAGUACAUCUUCCAUGGACAACCAAGCAAGUUUAGUGCUACAGUUUUUUAUGAUCUUCCGUUGCCUAUUUUCAUUUCUUAUCGAUUUUAAAUAUCCAUAAUUGACAUUAUUAUUGCCAAGCACAGUUGAAGACAGAACAGAAAAAUAAACAGAGUCACAAGACUUGUGUUAUGCUUAUGGAGGGGUAAAACAUAAACAAACCAACACAUAUUUACCAUUACUGGUAUAAAAAGAGAAGAAUAAGGUGAUUAA